AUGUUAGUUACUGGGAAUUAUAUUAUGCUUGAUGCUGUACUACAAAUUUAUAAUACUGUCCAUAGAAAGUGCGAUAUUGGCGUUUUAACGAGCGUUUCGCUAUCAUUCUCUAGUUUACAAAUCGCACCUCACCAUGGUUCAUAAAUCCAGCAGCUACAGCAAACAGCUGUUUGCAGACGCACUUUAGAGUUUGAAUUUUAGAAUCUCUUUUAAGUAAAGCUAAGAGACUUAUAAUCUCUUAGAUUUCCUUUGGUUUUAUAUUAACUUCAAUGAGCAUAAUGAAUUAUUAUGCGAUCACAGUGCCAUCGACAUGUUUCAACAUUUUUUAAGCACAUGCUGUUAAUACUAUUUAAUCCACUAAACUUACUAAUGAGAGUAUCCUUUUAAUCUACUGAUAAACAAAAGGAGUUUUCGUGCUGUAAAAUGGUAAUUUUACAGUACCACCCUCUCCCUGUAAUCGAAAAUGCAUACCAGAUAUGAUGAUGCACUCAUUUUAACUCUCUUUAAACUAUUAAAGUAUAUUCCAUCAUUUCCGUACCCUCGUUUCAGAAUGUUCAUAUGCGACUUGUAUAAACAACUCAUAUAAUCUGAAUGCAAAACUUCCCUCAUUGUUAGAGAUGAUCAUGUGUAGAUCAUCAAGUAAAAAAGAUGGACGAUGUGCGCUUCAAUGAGUUAACACUCGCAUCAAGCUUUUGGUAAAGCCUUUGACUCCUAUUUUUUUUGCUCAGCCUUGUUAUAUUUUGUUUAAACCAGUAAGAAACUGAUUAAUAAAAGUUUCCCCACACUUUUGAAUGUUUUGUCGAAUAAGCACUGUUUUUCUGUUUGUUUACAGAGUCGAUUGUUUCGGUUUGAGUGAUAUUUAAAGCAGCAUUUUUUUUGUAUAUAUAGAGCCUUUAGUACGAACUUUCUUUUCUUUACCGAUUGAUUUUUGUCAAAUAUCAUUACUGUUGCAUUCUUAUCUUCUUGUGUCAAUAUUUUUUUUUCGGCACCUUGUGCUUCUUCUGAUCGCAAUUUUGUUUAGUAUCGAUAUCGCGAUUUUUUUGACUCUUCUUUCUUUAACUCUGGAACGCUCUUAUUAGGGUGUUGUAUUUAUUUAUUUUUUUAAUUCUGACCUAUUCU